rnacentral:rRNA from 1 species
UACAGAGGUCUCAAGCGUUGUUCGGAUUCAUUGGGCGUAAAGGGUGCGUAGGCGGUCGGGUAAGUCUGACGUGAAAUCUUCAAGCUCAACUUGGAAACUGCGUCGGAUACUAUUCGGCUAGAGGAAUGGAGGGGAGACUGGAAUACUUGGUGUAGCAGUGAAAUGCGUAGAUAUCAAGUGGAACACCAGUGGCGAAGGCGAGUCUCUGGACAUUUCCUGACGCUGAGGCACGAAAGCCAGGGGAGCAAACGGG